rnacentral:rRNA from 1 species
CCUACGGGAGGCAGCAGUGAGGAAUAUUGGUCAAUGGUCGGGAGACUGAACCAGCCAAGCCGCGUGAGGGAUGAAGGUACAGAGUAUCGUAAACCUCUUUUGUCAGGGAACAAAGGCGGGGACGUGUCCCCGGAUGAGUGUACCUGAAGAAAAAGCAUCGGCUAACUCCGUGCCAGCAGCCGCGGUAAUACGGAGGAUGCGAGCGUUAGCCGGAUAUAUUGGGUUAAACGGGUGCGGGGGCGGUCUGUUCAGUCAGCGGUAAAAGCCCGGGCUCACCCCCGGCCCGCCGUUGAAACUGGCAGUCUCGAGUUGGAGAGAAGUAUGCAGAAUGCGCGGUGUAGCGGUGAAAUGCGUAGAGAUCGCGAAGAACUCCGGUUGCGAAGGCAGCAUGCCGGCUCCAGACUGACGCUGAGGCACGAAAGCGUGGGUAGCGAACAGGAUUAGAUACCCGAGUAGUC